GCUUACGGCCAUACCAGCCUGAAUCCCCCCGAUCUCGUCAGAUCUCGGAAGCUAAGCCGUGUCGGGCCUGGUUAGUAAUCGGAUGGGAGACUGCCUGGGAAUACCAGGUGCUGUAAGCA
ensembl:rRNA 5S_rRNA 5S ribosomal RNA